rnacentral:rRNA from 1 species
UACGGGGGGGGCAAGCGUUGUUCGGAAUUACUGGGCGUAAAGGGCUCGUAGGCGGCCAACUAAGUCCGCCGUGAAAUCCCCAGGCUCAACCUGGGAACUGCGUCCGAUACUGGAUGGCUUGAAUCCGGGAGAGGGAUGCAGAAUUCCAGGUGUAGCGGUGAAAUGCGUAGAUAUCUGGAGGAAUACCGGUGGCGAAGGCGGCAUCCUGGACCGGCAUUGACGCUGAGGAGCGAAAGCCAGGGGAGCAAACGGG